rnacentral:rRNA from 1 species
GGACGGGUGAGUAACACGUGGAUAACCUACCUAUAAGACUGGGAUAACUUCGGGAAACCGGAGCUAAUACCGGAUAAUAUAUUGAACCGCAUGGUUCAAUAGUGAAAGACGGUUUUGCUGUCACUUAUAGAUGGAUCCGCGCCGCAUUAGCUAGUUGGUAAGGUAACGGCCUACCAAGGCAACGAUGCGUAGCCGACCUGAGAGGGUGAUCGGCCACACUGGAGCUGAGACACGGUCCAG